GUCAUAAUUGGCCUUACUCCAAUAGAACAGGUGUCCUUAUAAGAAGAGGAAGAGAUACCGGAGGGAUAUCUCUUCCCCUCCCCCUCAUGAGUACACUGAGGAAAGGCCACAUGAGGACACAGUGAGAAGGUGGCCAUCUUUAAGCCAGGAAAAAAAAAAGCCUCACCAGACACUAAUCCUGCUAGCACCUUGAUUUUGGACUUCUACCUUCCAGAACUCUGACUUCAACAUUCCAAGCAUUAAUUAAUUUAAAAAAGACAUCAGAAGCCAUGCCAGAGAGACUCUUUGUCACAGUCUGAUUAUGAAUCUGGAAUGACAAGAAUUUUCUGGAUCAUUAUGGAGGAAGAGGGGGAGCCCAAACAAAACACCGGACUCUGAAACAAGUCGACAGAAAUCGGGCUUUGGGAGACUGAAACACACGUAAUUUUCAAGAUUCGUGACCAGUUUCUUGUUUAUUCAAUCCAUAGAAAGGUUAAUUAUGCUAGUGACUGUGGUUGGAAAACAAUUCUUGGAAAAUGCUUUGGUAACAACAGGUUGGCAGUGUAUGGAAACCAUCUGCUUCCUACAAAUGUUAAGGUAAACUUUAAAACUUGUGGGGUUAGCAAUUACAGAUUGUAUAGUAGUUUAAUGGAGUGAAAAUACAUGCUGUGUUAAUGCAGACUUUCUGGAUCUUCUUGACACCCAGCCUAAAAGGAACACCAGUUAUAAGAAGAAUGGUCUUUGGGCAUAUCAAAACUUU
rnacentral:lncRNA from 10 species